AUUGAACGCUGGCGGCAGGCCUAACACAUGCAAGUCGAGCGAGCGGCGGACGGGUGAGUAAUGUCUGGGAACCUGCCUGAUGGAGGGGGAUAACUACUGGAAACGGUAGCUAAUACCGCAUCCCAUCAGUUGUGCCCAGGUGGGAUUAGCUGGUAGGUGGGGUAACGGCUCACAUAGGCGACGAUCCCUAGCUGGUCUGAGAGGAUGACCAGCCACACUGGAAGUGAGAAACGGGCCAGACUCCUACGGAAGGCAGCAGUGGGGAAUAUUGCACAAUGGGGGCAAGCCUGCUGCAGCCAUGCCGCGUGUGUGAAGAAGGCUGUCGGGUUGUAAAGCACUUUCAGCGGGGAGACGUUACCCGAAGAAGAAGCACCGGCUAACUCCGUGCCAGCAGCCGCGGUAAUAC
rnacentral:rRNA from 1 species